UCAACUUUGAUAAGAAAGUUUCAGAUGCUGACUUGGUUGUUGUUGGAGAAGGAAGACUUGACAGUCAAAGCUUUGCUGGGAAAGCGCCUAUAGGUGUUGCAAAAAGAACCCCUGUUGGAGUUCCUGUUAUUGCUAUUUGCGGUAGUCUUGCUGAAGAUUUACCUCCCCUACCAUUUGAAAAUAUCCAAGCUGUCUUUUCUAUUUUGGAGAAAAGUGAACCUUUAGAAGAUAGUUUGAAAAAUGCCAGUCUCUAUCUGGAGCGCACGGCUGCCAAUAUUGGGCACUUAUUAAAUAUGUGCAAGAUUUAGCUAAACCAUUUCUUCCAUAAGGAUGUUUUGGCUGGUUCUUCCUUUUUAACUUCCCAAAGUUUUGGAAAAGCAAGUCGAAGGUCUUUUUCUUCUACUUGAACUGGUGCAUUGCUAUGAAUAACCAGGCCAAAAGGAGAAGUAAUAUGCUCUUCAGAUACUAUGGUGGCUUGACUAUCAGUUUCUUUUGCUUCUUUUAAGUAGAAAACUUGCUUAUCAAAUUCGAUAGUUGGUGAAAUCUUCACAAAUAGUGGCUCUGCUUUUUCCUGAAGGUUUUCUAAAAUAAAUAAAAAGCCUUUUUCUAACUGAGGGCUAUUUGCUGUGUCAAUAUCUACAUAUCCAAGAACUCUUUCCUCAAAAGUACCAAGAUAGCGUCUUUGCUCAUCCGGAUUUAUUUUUAACCCACCAUGAGCUUUUUCAAGUAAUUGUUUUGAUAAAUCUGUCAUGAAAACAGUAUAUCAUAAAAGUUAGAAUAAAACAGACAAAAGAAAGCGAUUACUUUAUAAAGUUAAGGAAAAGUUGCACAAAGAUAACGUUUUUUCUUGAAAAAGGAGGGGUUUUAAGGUAUUAUAGAGGUGUAAAAAAUUUAACUCAUAAGGAGAGUAAAAAAUGUCAAUUAUUACUGAUGUUUACGCUCGCGAAGUCCUAGACUCACGCGGUAACCCAACACUUGAAGUAGAAGUUUACACUGAAUCAGGUGCUUUCGGACGUGGUAUGGUUCCAUCAGGAGCUUCUACUGGUGAACACGAAGCAGUUGAACUUCGCGACGGUGACAAAUCUCGUUACGGUGGUCUUGGUACACAAAAAGCUGUUGACAACGUAAAUAACAUCAUUGCUGAAGCUAUCAUUGGCUACGAUGUACGUGAUCAACAAGCUAUUGACCGUGCUAUGAUCGCACUUGACGGUACUCCUAACAAAGGUAAAUUGGGUGCGAAUGCAAUCCUCGGUGUGUCUAUCGCUGUAGCUCGUGCUGCUGCUGACUACCUUGAAAUCCCACUUUACAGCUAUCUUGGUGGAUUCAACACUAAAGUUCUUCCAACUCCAAUGAUGAACAUCAUCAACGGUGGUUCUCACUCUGACGCUCCAAUCGCUUUCCAAGAGUUCAUGAUCUUGCCAGUUGGUGCGCCAACAUUUAAAGAAGCCCUUCGUUACGGUGCUGAAAUCUUCCACGCUCUUAAGAAAAUCCUUAAAUCACGUGGUUUGGAAACUGCCGUAGGUGACGAAGGUGGAUUCGCUCCUCGUUUCGAAGGAACUGAAGAUGGUGUUGAAACUAUCCUUGCUGCGAUUGAAGCUGCUGGAUAUGUACCAGGUAAAGACGUAUUUAUCGGAUUUGACUGUGCUUCAUCAGAAUUCUACGAUAAAGAACGUAAAGUUUACGACUACACUAAAUUUGAAGGUGAAGGUGCUGCUGUUCGUACAUCUGCAGAACAAAUCGACUACCUUGAAGAAUUGGUUAACAAAUACCCAAUCAUCACUAUUGAAGAUGGUAUGGAUGAAAACGACUGGGAUGGUUGGAAAGCUCUUACUGAACGUCUUGGUAAGAAAGUACAACUUGUUGGUGACGACUUCUUCGUAACAAACACUGACUACCUUGCACGUGGUAUCCAAGAAGGUGCUGCUAACUCAAUCCUUAUCAAAGUUAACCAAAUCGGUACUCUUACUGAAACUUUUGAAGCUAUCGAAAUGGCUAAAGAAGCUGGUUACACUGCUGUUGUAUCACACCGUUCAGGUGAAACUGAAGAUUCAACAAUCGCUGAUAUUGCAGUUGCAACUAACGCAGGACAAAUCAAGACUGGUUCACUUUCACGUACAGACCGCAUCGCUAAAUACAACCAAUUGCUUCGUAUCGAAGACCAACUUGGUGAAGUAGCUGAAUAUCGUGGAUUGAAAUCAUUCUACAACCUUAAAAAAUAAAAUAGUUCAGUGAACUAUUUUAUCCCGAACCAUGAAAUUCAAAAGUUCGGCCGUUGAUUUAACAACGUUUCUAGCCCCUCGGAUUUUAUCCGAAGGGCUAUUUUUGUAUUUAGAGGACAAAAAAGGGACAAAACUUUUUAAAAAAUCUUUUUCAUAACUUUAUCCAGUACAUUGAUUGCUUCAUCUUUCAUGUUCUUUGUGACGUGGGUGUAGAUGGAAGUAGUGACUUCAGAGUCGGAAUGACCAACCCUGUCCGUGAUUGUUUUUAAAGGAAUUUUAUUGGCUCUUUGUCAACUGUAGUGGGUUGAAGUCAGCUAAGCUUGAGAAAGGACAAAUUUUGUCCUUUCUUUUUUGAUAUUCAGGGCGAUAAAAAUCCGUUUUUUGAAGUUUUCAAAGUUCCGAAAACCAAAGGCAUUGCGCUUGAUAAGUUUGAUGAGAUUAUUGGUCGCUUCCAAUUUGGCGUUAGAAUAGUGUAGUUGAAGGGCGUUGACGAUUUUCUCUUUGUCCUUUAGAAAGGUUUUAAAGACAGUCUGAAAAAGAGGAUGAACCUGCUUUAGAUUGUCCUCAAUGAGUCCGAAAAAUUUCUCCGGUUCCUUAUUCUGAAAGUGAAACAGCAAGAGUUGAUAGAGCUGAUAGUGGUGUUUCAAGUCUUGUGAAUAGCUCAAAAGCUUGUUUAAAAUCUCUUUAUUGGUUAAAUGCAUACGAAAAGUAGGGCGAUAAAAAUGUUUAUCGCUGAGUUUACGACUAUCCUGUUGUAUGAGCUUCCAGUAGCGCUUGAUAGCCUUGUAUUCAUGAGACUUUCGAUCCAAUUGAUUCAUGAUUUGAACACGCACACGACUCAUAGCACGGCUAAGAUGUUGUACAAUGUGAAAGCGAUCCAACACGAUUUUAGCACAUGGGAAAAGUUGUCUAGCUAAGUCAUAGUAAGGACUAAACAUAUCCAUAGUAAUAAUUUUGACGCGACAUCGGACGGCUCUAUCAUAUUUAAGAAAGUGAUUUCGAAUGAUAGCUUGUGUUCUUCCCUCAAGAACAGUGAUGAUAUUGAGAUUGUUAAAAUCUUGCGCAAUGAAGCUCAUCUUUCCCUUUGUAAAAGCAUACUCAUCCCAAGACAUAAUCUCAGGAAGACAAGAAAAAUCAUGUUUAAAGUGAAAAUCAUUGAGCUUACGAAUAACAGUUGAAGUUGAGAUGGAAAGCUGAUGGGCAAUAUCAGUCAUAGAAAUCUUUUCAAUUAACUUUUGAGCAAUCUUUUGGUUGAUGAUACGAGGGAUUUGGUGAUUCUUCUUGACGAUAGAAGUUUCAGCAACCAUCAUUUUUGAACAGUGAUAGCACUUGAAUCGACGCUUUCUAAGGAGAAUUCUAGUAGGCAUACCAGUCGUUUCAAGAUAAGGAAUUUUAGAAGGUUUUUGAAAGUCAUAUUUCUUCAAUUGGUUUCCGCACUCAGGGCAAGAUGGGGCGUCGUAGUCCAGUUUGGCGAUGAUUUCCUUGUGUGUAUCCUUAUUGAUGAUGUNUGCUUAUAUCUGUAACAUUGAGCUGUGAUGGGGAGCGAAGUUUAGUAGCGAAGUUAGUGACGUCACACUGCCAAGAAAAGCUUCUAGCGUUUAAACAUACUCUACCCGUACCGCAAACCGACACAGGUAGUCGAGGCGAGUAGCCUCAGGUGAGCGAGAGAACUCUCGUUAAGGAACUCGGCAAAAUGACCCCGUAACUUCGGGAGAAGGGGUGCUGACUUUAAGUCAGCCGCAGUGAAUAGGCCCAAGCAACUGUUUAUCAAAAACACAGCUCUCUGCUAAAUCGUAAGAUGAUGUAUAGGGGGUGACGCCUGCCCGGUGCUGGAAGGUUAAGAGGAGUGCUUAGCGUAAGCGAAGGUAUGAAUUGAAGCCCCAGUAAACGGCGGCCGUAACUAUAACGGUCCUAAGGUAGCGAAAUUCCUUGUCGGGUAAGUUCCGACCCGCACGAAAGGCGUAAUGAUUUGGGCACUGUCUCAACGAGAGACUCGGUGAAAUUUUAGUACCUGUGAAGAUGCAGGUUACCCGCGACAGGACGGAAAGACCCCAUGGAGCUUUACUGCAGUUUGAUAUUGAGUGUCUGUACCACAUGUACAGGAUAGGUAGGAGUCUAAGAGAUCGGGACGCCAGUUUCGAAGGAGACGCUGUUGGGAUACUACCCUUGUGUUAUGGCCACUCUAACCCAGAUAGGUGAUCCCUAUCGGAGACAGUGUCUGACGGGCAGUUUGACUGGGGCGGUCGCCUCCUAAAAGGUAACGGAGGCGCCCAAAGGUUCCCUCAGAAUGGUUGGAAAUCAUUCGCAGAGUGUAAAGGUAUAAGGGAGCUUGACUGCGAGAGCUACAACUCGAGCAGGGACGAAAGUCGGGCUUAGUGAUCCGGUGGUUCCGUAUGGAAGGGCCAUCGCUCAACGGAUAAAAGCUACCCUGGGGAUAACAGGCUUAUCUCCCCCAAGAGUUCACAUCGACGGGGAGGUUUGGCACCUCGAUGUCGGCUCGUCGCAUCCUGGGGCUGUAGUCGGUCCCAAGGGUUGGGCUGUUCGCCCAUUAAAGCGGCACGCGAGCUGGGUUCAGAACGUCGUGAGACAGUUCGGUCCCUAUCCGUCGCGGGCGUAGGAAAUUUGAGAGGAUCUGCUCCUAGUACGAGAGGACCAGAGUGGACUUACCGCUGGUGUACCAGUUGUCUUGCCAAAGGCAUCGCUGGGUAGCUAUGUAGGGAAGGGAUAAACGCUGAAAGCAUCUAAGUGUGAAACCCACCUCAAGAUGAGAUUUCCCAUGAUUAUAUAUCAGUAAGAGCCCUGAGAGAUGAUCAGGUAGAUAGGUUAGAAGUGGAAGUGUGGCGACACAUGUAGCGGACUAAUACUAAUAGCUCGAGGACUUAUCCAA
rnacentral:rRNA from 1 species